AUGUACUUAUUGGCAGGUCCAUGGAAUCUGAGAAGAAAACUACCUUCCUUGACAAAUGUAUACUAUCAAUUGGAUCACUUGAGGUCAUCUCUGUAUCUGGAAUGGUGUCAUACAAGAAGGGUCUUGGCGGUGGUCUGACCUGCCAUGGACUGUCCAUCUGCCCGGACUACAGCGAGGUGAAGUGACUGACAGAUUCAGAAUUCGAUGAGGGAGAAGAGUCAGGCCUGAGACCAGUGCGAAGACAAUUUUUCCAAGCUUCCAAGGAGCCAAGCUGAAGAAAGAGUGAAACAAUGGAGGCGCCUUUCUUUCUUGAUCUUGGGAGAAGGUAUUAAACUAGAACUCAGAAGAUCUGGGCUGCUACUUUCUAGUUCGUCACCUCAUGCAGGAUAUGUAGCUUUUGCAAAUCUUGACUUUCCAAAUUUCAAAUGAAGCUCGUGAUUUGUGUCUUGAGUACAUAGGGACUUGCUAUGAGCAUUAACAGAGAUUACGAAUGCAAAGCACUUUGCUUAUCAUUAAUUUUUUUUUCUUUUUUUUUUUUUUUUUUUGAGACUGAGUCUCUCUCUGUUGCCCAGGCUGGAGUGCAGUGGCACCAUCUCGGCUCACUGCAACCUUCGCUUCCCAGAUUCAAGCGAUUCUCCUGCCUCAGCCUUGCAAGUAGCUGGGACUACAGGUGCACACUACCACGCCCAGCUAAUUUUUGUAUUUUUAGUAGAGACAUUGGCUAGGAUGGUUUUGAUCUCUUGACCUCGUGAUGCACCUACCUAGGCCUCCCACAGGCGGGAGCCACCAAGCAGGCUGCUUAGCAUUAAUGUUUUUAACAAAAUAAUGAGUAGAGCUACAUGGCAGAUUCAAUUCUGAUUCUGUGUUAUAUGCUUGAUCUGUAGCUAUGCCUCAGCAGCUUUGCACAGCAUAGGGGCACAGAUGCUUUCUUCUUAUUGUGACUUACAUGGAUUCAAAUUGUAGGUGACAGAAAAAUGUUGGUAUUACAUGUCAAACACAAAGGCAAAUAGAAUAAAAAGGUUAUAAUCAAGCUGUAAGCUGCACGCUCUAUUCAGUCUUCUUUCUCUCUGAAAUAUGUCAACUACUAUUUCCUGAGAUAUGAGGCACUUGAUGAUUGAGAUGAUUAAAAAAUACAUCCACCCGAAGUAAGCAUCAAUUACACAAAUUUACUAAUAAGAAACAAUCAAAUAUGCCUCCACAUGAAUGCACACAACACACACACACAUAAACAGAUUGUUAUGAAUUAUUCUCCAGAUUUCUACUUGUCACUAUUUUAUUAGGUAUACAAAGAAUAUUUUAUAUAUCACUUUGCUCUGGGAUUGAGAAACUUUUGCUUUAAGGUUUUAUUUUAUUUUAUGGUUAGAAAAGAAGGGUCAUUGAACUAUUAUAAACCAGUGAUGUUUCUAGAGUUUUCCUCCAAUUUCAUCAAAGAAGGAGAAACAGAUAUAGUGACCUAACACGUAGUUUUUAGAAACUGUUGUUACAGAGUUAAGAGCUGAAACUUUCACAAGUUUUUAAAACCAACAAACAAGCACAAGAAAAUAUAAUAUUUUCUAUACAAGGUAUUCUGAUGAUAUAAUAGUUUUAUAUUCAUUCAUCUUAUUAAUCAAAGAUGGAAGUAAACAAAAGAGGUCAUAGAUGUUUUUGCUAAUAAAAAAGAGAGGGAGUUCCUUACUUUCAUUAUUUAAUGUUAAUAAUAAUCAUAAUUGGAAAAAAAAAAACCCAUAGAUUCGAAGUUAAGUGGCUUGCCCAAGGUCAGGUUUACCAAAAUAUCAUUUAUUCUAUAUUCAAAGGUCUUUCACUCAAAAGACUCAUUACCUG
rnacentral:lncRNA from 10 species